rnacentral:rRNA from 1 species
AUUGAACGCUAGCGGCAUGCUUAACACAUGCAAGUAGAACGAGUGGCGGACGGGUGAGUAAUGUAUGGGAAACUGCCCGAUGGAGGGGGAUAACUACUGGAAACGGUGGCUAAUACCGAAUACCAUCAGAUGGGCCGAGAUGGGAGUAGCUAGUUGGUGGGGUAACGGCUCACCAAGGCAACGAUCCGUAGCUGGUGUGAGAGGAUGACCAUCCACACUUGAACUGAGACACGGCCCAGACUCCUACGGGAGGCAGCAGUGGGGAAUUUUGGACAAUGGGGGAAAGCCUGAUGCAGCCAUCCCGCGUGUAUGAUGAAGGCCUUCGGGUUGUAAAGUACUUUUAGCAGGGAGGCGUUAUCCGCAGAAUAAGCACCGGCUAACUCCGUGCCAGCAGCCGCGGUAAUUC